rnacentral:rRNA from 1 species
AUUGAACGCUGGCGGCAUGCUUUACACAUGCAAGUCGGACGAGUGGCGAACGGGUGAGUAAUAUAUCGGAACGUACCGAGUAAUGGGGGAUAACUAAUCGAAAGAUUAGCUAAUACCGCAUAUUAUUCGUGCGGCCGAUAUCUGAUUAGCUAGUUGGUGGGGUAAAGGGCUACCAAGGCGACGAUAAGUAGCGGGUCUGAGAGGAUGAUCCGCCAAACUGGGACUGGGAACCGGCCCAGACUCCUACGGGAGGCAGGAGUGGGGAAUUGUGGACAAUGGGCGGAAGCCGUAACCGGCCAAGCCGGGUGGCGGAAGAAGGCCUUCGGGUUGUAAAGGACUUUUGUCAGGGAAGCGGUACCGGAAUAGAAAGCCACGGCUAACUACGUGCCAGCAGCCGCGGUAAUAC